rnacentral:rRNA from 1 species
AACGAACGCUGGCGGCAUGCCUAACACAUGCAAGUCGAACGGAUCCUUCGGGAUUAGUGGCGCACGGGUGCGUAACGCGUGGGAAUCUGCCCUGGGGUACGGAAUAACUCGGAGAAAUCCGUGCUAAUACCGUAUGAUGUCUUCGGACCAAAGAUUUAUCGCCCUGGGAUGAGCCCGCGUAGGAUUAGCUAGUUGGUGGGGUAAAGGCCUACCAAGGCGACGAUCCUUAGCUGGUCUGAGAGGAUGAUCAGCCACACUGGGACUGAGACACGGCCCAGACUCCUACGGGAGGCAGCAGUGGGGAAUAUUGGACAAUGGGCGCAAGCCUGAUCCAGCAAUGCCGCGUGAGUGAUGAAGGCCUUAGGGUUGUAAAGCUCUUUUACCCGGGAAGAUAAUGACUGUACCGGGAGAAUAAGCCCCGGCUAACUACGUGCCAGCCGCCGCGGUAAGAC